AUAAUAUUGGCAGAAUAAUGCAUUAGAAUUAGAAUCUAAUUAACUACAUAUAAUU
rnacentral:tRNA from 1 species